UACGAAGGAUUCGAGCGUUAUCCGGAUUUAUUGGGUUUAAAGGGUGCGUAGGUGGACUAAUAAGUCAGUGGUGAAAGCCCGCAGCUUAACUGCGGAACUGCCAUUGAUACUGUUAGUCUUGAGUACAGUUGAGGUGGGCGGAAUGUGUCAUGUAGCGGUGAAAUGCUUAGAUAUGACACAGAACACCGAUUGCGAAGGCAGCUCACUAAGCUGUAACUGACGCUGAGGCACGAAAGCGUGGGGAUCAAACAGG
rnacentral:rRNA from 1 species